rnacentral:pre_miRNA from 1 species
UGGCUACAAAAUAACUUACUUAUUUUGUAGCCACUUUGAGUUACGAUAAUUACUAUAUUAGUUACAAGAUUAUAGUAACUAUUUAAUAAAUGGAUUACUAUAAUAUUACGGUAAAUAUCCCCAUAUGUUAUAGUAACCAAACUAUCGUAAAUAUGUAUACAUAUUAUCGCAAAUGAGUAUAUAAAAUUAAAGUAAAUAGAGGUGGCUACAAAAUAACUUAUUUUGUAGCUA